AUGCAGAUAGUAAACUAUAGGUACAUGAUGAAGAGUUCAUUUGCGAGUGUCGACAACUCUAGUUUGGAGAACACUAUCAGCACUAUUUUGGAACAUCUCGGACGCAAGAAGGAGAACUACCCUGGGAAAUAUCUCAGCAGGGACCAUAUUUCUGGAAAUCUUCUUUUUCCUUUUUCUGCAACCCAGAAACCACCUACUCUAGCAGAAAUCUCACGAAAACCAGAGACAGAGGUUCUGACGAUUGAUGAUGUCAAGACGGAUCAUAAUUCAAAGAUUUUUAAAGUUUUCUUAAACCAAAGUAUUGUUUUUCAAAGAACAUUAGAAACAGUUGCUGACUAUGCAGAAACUUAUGGGGCAAAUUUUUCAGUUGGAAUAUUUCAGGUACAGUAUUUCCCACAAUAUUCUCAAAAAUAAGUUCAGGUAACACCUAGACCAAUUUUAGCUCACAUGUAUAAGGUUGCAACAAUGUACCCUACACCAGAAGAAGUGAGCUCAUAUUUUUAUGAGAACACAUGCACAUCAAAAAGGAAUCAAAUUCCUCUGUCAGGAAAGGGUUUGUCACUUAAAAUCGCUCGUCACAAUUUUAAAUAAUUCUCAAGGUUACAAUCUUCAGUCAUCAAAUUCAAAGUAUUUCACCCUGUCUACUAAGUUAAGUACUGCUAGAUGACCAUAUCCCUCCUCCAUCCUGUGUCUUUAAGAAACAAGACAGAGUAUUAGAGUGACAUGGUCACUCACAGCAACGAUGACAGAUUUUUAAGUGUUCUUAAGAACCUGUCAUCACCAGGGAUCUAACUUGGGCUUUUAGUGCUGCCAGCAAACUGCCGUAACCACUACAUCACCAAAGCUGUCUUUCUUUCUAUUCGAUCCAUCCCUAAAAUUUUCAAAGAAUAUCGUUGAUAAAACAAAAAAAUGUUUAAAAAAACUUUGUCUGUUUCAAACUGUUUUUAUGUAGAUCACAAAUCUGAACCAACCCUUCGAAGAAUCAGACCACCUAUCUCUCUAUCGCUUGUAUUUGAGCUCUGAUGUUUUAAGAAGCUUUCUUUGUUCGUUGAAGCUGGGAAAAUUGUGUAUGAAAAUUCUAAUAGGAGGCAUGGAGAUUGUGAAUCAAAGAAUAUUUUGGUAUGCAGUCAUCAGACCAGGAUACGGAGAUGUAGUCAGACCAUUCAUGUCGUAUGCCGAACAGAAGUAAAUCAAUUGAAUGGCAAGAAAAACUUAGAUAUUAGUUACGCAUCAUAUAAAAUGUAAGUAAUAGUUAUUCCUUUUCUUUUCAGUGGUGUACUCCUGAAAUUUAGUACUAACAGAACGUAGUCCAUUUUGAAAUGGAUGAAAAAGGAUGAAAUUUUGACCCUUUUUACCUUCAAAAAGUGCUUUAUGCUCUUUGUUUUAUCACUUUGUCACAGAAAACCUGUAGGCAGAGAUGGAAAAUUUCAUGAAAUUUAUUCGAGUGAAAUUUCACGCGUGAAAUUUCAUGAAAUUUCAUGAAAU
rnacentral:lncRNA from 1 species